ACGAGGACGAAGCCACUGGCUGUUUCGAGGUGAUUUCUUUUUAGUGCAAAGUAGCAUUCAGUUAUCACAAACUGUGUAAGCUGUAGACCACAACUAUAGUAUGAUAUAACGCACAGGAAUUAUUCAUAAAUUAAACAAAUCAAAAUGGGUGUUGUUACUUGUGAAUUUUGUGGAAACAGUUUUCGCCAUAAAACCUCCAUAACUUCAUAUGGAACAUAAAAAGAAAAACCUCACGUCUAACGAAACUCGUUAUUGUGGUGUAUUUGAGCAACACGUUGAAUACAUUAGCUGGUCGUAUCAUUUGCGUACCAACUUGCAUUAACAAUUAUCUAGUACGCAAAUAAGCGGUUACCUGAGGUGUAUAAAAAGUGAAUUUUGGAAUCGCAUUGAAACGUAUAUAAUCGAAAAUCCUAAAAAAGAAUGUCGGGAUAUCACAUUAUUUUAUCAAUAAAUCGAUGGACAAGUGAUCAAUUUACCUCUUGAAGUAAAUUGAGGUUCUACAAAUACAUAUCAAUAUAUGUAAAUUCGAACAAUUUUCUAAUUAUGUUUUUUUAAAGAGAGUCAAGAGCACUGUCAAAUGAACCUUAAAUCGUUUCAAACGAAAAUGCAAACUUAAAAUCCAACAAUGUCUGAUAAUGAGAAACUGAAUGAAAUAAUCAAUAAUUAAUAAUUUAUACAAAAAAUGAAAUGAGUGAAUUUCAAAAACGUGACAGUAGUUGGUCAAUAAUUGAAACAGCACAUUUGGAAGUGAAUAUAAAUAAAUACCAACCUCUAAGGGAUUCAAAUUACAUUUGUUUACCGAAAUAAAUAUUUUGUAAAGGAUCAUGUGUCAAUGUGCAAAAUAAAGAUGUUUAUUGCUUUAAAUGGGCAUUAAUAUCGGCUUUCGCUAAAGUGGACAAGAGUAAAUAUAACCGAAAUCGAACUAUUUAUUAAAAAUAAAGAGUCGUUCACAACAUUAAAUCGGAUAUAAACACAAUAAAUAAUAAAACAUUAAAUUUUAUUGACUUAAAGUUUAUAAAACCGGUUGAUAAAAUUAAAACAUUUGAAGAAAAUAAUCCUGAAAUUAGUAUAACUGUGUUGGGAGUAGACGACGAUGAUCGCACAAUAAUCGGAUCAUAUUAUUUUACCAAUAAUAAAACUAAUAACGUACACAGCAUAUAUCUGCUUCAUCUCGAAAAGGAGGAAAAAUAUCAAUAUAUUUGGAUUAGAAAUAUUUCAAGAUUACUUCGCAGACAAGUGACGAUAACGAAAUGGUCAAAUAUAUUUAUGUGCAACGACAUAGCUCAGAGUGUAAUAGAAUUAUAGUUGAGAUGCAAUGGAAAAACGAUUUUCUAUUAAGACUUAAGAAUUAUAAAAAACAACUAGAUGUCACUAUGCUGAUUUUGAAUGUAUUUUGGAAGGGAUAGAUAUUAAAAGUAAAGAUAACAUAAGCCUAAUUCAAAAGCAUAUAACAUAUGCAUAUAGUUAUUACAUAAAAUGUUUACUUGAUAAUAACUUGGAUAUAUCAUCGUUUUAGACCAUUGUCAUUUAACAGGAGAAUUGCAAGUUAUUUAAAAUAACAAUUUUAUAAAAGUGUGUAAAAAAUCUAUAAUUUAGCUCCAUGUCAAUAUUAUACAACGCCUGGUCUAUCAUGGGAUGGUCUAUCAUGGGUUGCAAUGUUGAAAACAACUAUAAUUUCAUUAUAAAAGGUAUUAGAGGUGGUCUUGUUUAAUGCAGUGGACGUCAUUCACUUGCAAAUAAUAAAUAUCUAACGAACGACUAUGAUUGCAACAAAUAAUCAAAUUAUAUUGUAUACUUAGAUGUUAAUAAUUAAUAUGGAUAUAUCAUGUUACAAGCUAUUCCAUAUAAAAAUUUUAAAUGGUUAAAAAUGUUAAAAAUGCAAAUGAUUCUCUAGUUGGUUAUAGUAUUUUAGAAGUAGACUAAUGAUUUACCAUUUUGUCCGCAAAACAAAAUAAAUAAAAAUAUGCUACAAACAAAAUUGAUUGCAGACUUGACACAGAAACAUAAUUAUAUAAUUCACUAAAGAAAUUUACAUCGUGGAAUGAUUUUAAAGAAAAUUCAUCGAAUAUUACAAUUCGAUCAAUCUGAUUGGCUUAAAACAUAUAUUUACUGUAAUAAUCAUUAUAGAACAUUAGCUGUUAAUGAAUUUGGAAAUAAUUUUUUCAAACUUCUAAACUAUGCGGUGUAUGGCAAGACUAUGGAAAAUGUUGACAAGAGAAAAUCAAUUAAAUUAGUAUCCAGUUGGGAGAAUCAAUUAAAAAAUUAGGUGCUAGAGCACUUAUCUCAAAAUUUAAUUUCAGUAAUGUAUGAUAUUUCAAUUCACUGAAGAUUUGUUCGCAAUACAAAUGAAAAAAAGAUCUGUUGCUUCUGUUACUUCUUUCUACAUUGCAAUGUCGACCAAUGCAUUGGUUUCACCGUUCUCGAAUUAUCAAAAUAUAAUAUGUAUAGUUUUCACUAAGACUAUAUGAAACCGAAAUAUCAAGAAAACUUUAAAUUAAUGUAUAUGGAUAUUGAUUCUUUUAUCUAUGAUGUUAAGACUAUAGAUUUUUAUGAUGACAUUCGUUGUGAAAAUGAACAGCAUUUUGAUACAUCAGAAUAUGCUGAAGACAAUGUUUUUAAUAUACCAUUGUUAAACAAAGAAAAAUUAAGCAUGACGGAUAAUGAACCUUUCAUUUUAAAAUUAUACAUAUCAAUGUCGGUGACCAGUUCUAAUUCUAUUGUAGUUGUUUUCAACAUUGCAUCCCAUGAUAGACACGGUGUUGUAUAAUAUUGACAUGGAUCCAAAUUAUAGAUUUUUUUACACACUUUUCUAAAAUUUUUUCUUUUAAAUAACUUGCUUAGCUAUCUAGACUUUAAGGCAUAAAUCCGAAUGAUUCCAAAAAUCGAAGUUCUUAAAUUUCAUUUUAUCUUUUUACAAUUUUCUUUGAUAUGAAUAUAUAUAACUCUUUGUUUAAUGGUAUUAUAGAAAUUUUACCAUCAAUUUUUGUUAAUUCCUUCACAAAUAAAUGACAAUCGUAUGCUGAUAGAUUAUGGAAAAAUAUUGGGAAAAACUUGCUUGCUUGCUAAUAGUCAAAGAUAUAACUUAAGUUAAAAUAAAACUCAUGAAAACAUAUGAAUAUGUAUAUGUAAACAAAAAAAUUUAUGACCCCAUGUGUCUAUGUUAUUAUCUUUUACAUGUCGCUUAUAAUUUAAAUAGUUUUUGUUUUUUAAUACAAGCAAUAUCGAAAAUCAUCAAUAGUAAAUUUUUAAGUUACACUAGUCUUUACAACUUUAAUUUUUUUUCUUCGUUGUUGAUGUAUUAGCAUUAUUUAUUUUACAGAUUUCUAUCGAAUACCUACAUUUUAGCUCUGAGUCCAAUAAGUUAUUUUAUUAUAUUCCCUUUGCAUUCAUCUUUCAUCAUGCCUAAUUUUUUUUGCUUAGCAAUGGUAUAUUAAAAACGUUGUCUUCAGAAUAUUCUGAUGUAUCAAAAUGCUGUUCAUUUUCACAACGAAUGUCAUCAUAAAAAUCUAUAGUCUUAACAUCAUAGAUAAAAGAAUCAGUAUCCAUAUACAUUAAUUUAAAGUUUUCUUGAUAUUUCGGUUUCAUAUAGUCUUAGAGAAAACUAUACAUAUAUAUUAUAUUUUGAUAAUUCGAGAACGGUGAAACCAAUGCAUUGAUCUACAUUGCAAUGUAGAAAGGUGUAUCAGAAGCAACUGAUCCUUUUUUUAUUUGUAUUGCGAACAAAUCAUUAGUAAAUUGAAAUACAUUACUGAAAUUAUAUUUUGAGAUAAGUGCUCUAGCACCUAAUUUUUUUAAUUGAUUCUCCCAACUGGACACUAAUUUAAUUGAUUUUCACUUGUCAACAUUUUCCAUAGUCUUGCCAUACACCGCAUAGUUUAGCAGUUUGAAAAAUAACUUGCUAAGCUAUCUAGACUUGAAGGCAUAAAUCUAAAUUAUUCCAAAGAUCGAAGUUCUAAAAUUUGAUUUUUUCUAAUUAUAAUUUUUAUUGAUAUGGAUAUAUAAAACUCUUUGUUUAAUGGUAUUUUAGAAAUAUCACCAUCAAUUUUUGUUAAUUCCUUCAUAAAUAAAUGACAAUCCAUGAUAGAUUAUGGAAAAAUAUUGGGAAAAACUUGCUUGCUUGCUUGUAUAAAAAACAAAAACUAUUUAGAUGAUAAGCGACAUGUAAAAGAUAAUAAAAAAGGCACUCUUGCAUGUGGUCAUAAAGAUAUAACUUAAGCUUUGUUUGUUUUUCAAUAUCACAUAGUUUAUUAUUUCGAAAUAAAAAUUUUAAACAUAAAUGUCCACAAUUAUAUAAUA